rnacentral:rRNA from 1 species
AGUUGCUCUCGGGUGNGAGCGGCGGAUGGGUGAGUAUGUCUGGGAAACUGCCUGAUGGAGGGGGAUAACUACUGGAAACGGUAGCUAAUACCGCAUAAUGUCGCAAGACCAAAGUGGGGGACCUUCGGGCCUCAUGCCAUCAGAUGUGCCCAGAUGGGAUUAGCUAGUANGUGGGGUAACGGCUCACCUAGGCGACGAUCCCUANCUGGUCUGAGAGGAUGACCAGCCACACUGGAACUGAGACACGGUCCAGACUCCUACGGGAGGCAGCAGUGGGGAAUAUUGCACAAUGGGCGCAAGCCUGAUGCAGCCAUGCCGCGUGUGUGAAGAAGGCCUUCGGGUUGUAAAGCACUUUCACCGGGGAGGAANGCGUUAAGGUUAAUAACCUUGNCGAUUGACGUUACCCGCAGAAGAAGCACCGGCUAACUCCGUGCCAGCAGCCGCGGUAAUACGGAGGGUGCAAGCGUUAAUCGGAUUUUUUUGG